UUAUUUUGCUAGUGGCCACCACAAUUUAUUUCAUAACUUUGACCUCAAAUCAGGUAGGACUACCCGCUGAACUUAAGCAUAUCAAUAAGCGGAGGAAAAGAAACCAACAGGGAUUGCCUUAGUAGCGGCGAGUGAAGCGGCAAAAGCUCAAAUUUGAAAUCUGGCUCUUUCAGGAGUCCGAGUUGUAAUUUGAAGAAGGUAUCUUUGGGUCUGGCUCUUGUCUAUGUUUCUUGGAACAGAACGUCACAGAGGGUGAGAAUCCCGUGCGAUGAGAUGAUCCAGGCCUAUGUAAAGUUCCUUCGAAGAGUCGAGUUGUUUGGGAAUGCAGCUCUAAGUGGGUGGUAAAUUCCAUCUAAAGCUAAAUAUUGGCGAGAGACCGAUAGCGAACAAGUACAGUGAUGGAAAGAUGAAAAGAACUUUGAAAAGAGAGUGAAAAAGUACGUGAAAUUGUUGAAAGGGAAGGGCUUGAGAUCAGACUUGGUAUUUUGUAUGUUACUUCUUCGGGGGUGGCCUCUACAGUUUAUCGGGCCAGCAUCAGUUUGGGCGGUAGGAGAAUUGCGUUGGAAUGUGGCACGGCUUCGGUUGUGUGUUAUAGCCUUCGUCGAUACUGCCAGCCUAGACUGAGGACUGCGGUUUAUACCUAGGAUGUUGGCAUAAUGAUCUUAAGUCGCCCGUCUUGAAACACGGACCAAGGAGUCUAACGUCUAUGCGAGUGUUUGGGUGUAAAACCCGUACGCGUAAUGA
rnacentral:rRNA from 1 species